rnacentral:rRNA from 1 species
CCUACGGGAGGCAGCAGUGAGGAAUAUUGGUCAAUGGACGAGAGUCUGAACCAGCCAAGUAGCGUGAAGGAUGACUGCCCUAUGGGUUGUAAACUUCUUUUAUCAAGGAAUAAAACGCGGCACGUGCGCCUUUUUGCAUGUACCUUAUGAAUAAGGAUCGGUUAACUCCGUGCCAGCAGCCGCGGUAAUAAGGAGGUUCCGAGCGUUUUCCGGAUUUUUUGGGUUUAAAGGGAGCGUAGAUGGGUUUUUAAGCCAGUUGUGAAAGUUUGCGGGUCAACCGUAAAAUUGCAGUUGAUACUGGCAGUCUAGAGUGCAGUUGAGGUAGGCGGAAUGCGUGGUGUAGCGGUGAAAUGCUUAGAUAUCACGAAGAACCCCGAUUGCGAAGGCAGCUUACUAAGCUGUGACUGACAUUGAUGCUCGAAAGUGUGGGUAUCGAACAGGAUUAGAUACCCGGGUAGUC